GGCGAACGCUGGCGGCGUGCCUAAUACAUGCAAGUCGGGCGGACCGAACGAGGUCUUGCUCUUGUUUGGUCAGCGGCGGACGGGUGAGUAACACGUGGGCAACCUGCCCGCAAGACCGGGAUAACUCCGGGAAACCGGAGCUAAGACCGGAUAACACCGAAGACCGCAUGGGCUUCGGUUGAAAGGCGGCCUUUGGGCUGUCACUUGCGGAUGGGCCCGCGGCGCUUUAGGUAGUUGGUGAGGUAACGGCUCACCAAGGCGACGUAGCGUAUCCGGCAGGAGAGGACGGGCAGCCAGACUGGGAGGGUGACAGGCCCCAGAGGCAUUGGGGAGGGGGCAGUAGUGCUUCGGGAGGAAGGGGCGAAGGCUUGAGGGAGCGGGGCGGAGUCAGCGUGGAAGGCCGUCGGGUCGUAAAGCUCGGUUGUGAGGGAGGAAGGAGCGCCGUUCGGAGAGGGAGGCGCAGUGACGGUACCUCACGAGAAAGCCCCGGCUAACUACGUG
rnacentral:rRNA from 1 species